GGAGAGGUGCCAGAGUGGUCGAAUGGGGCGGUCUCGAAAACCGUUGAGCGUUUGCGCGUUCCCAGGGUUCGAAUCCCUGUCUCUCCGCCA
rnacentral:tRNA from 1 species